rnacentral:lncRNA from 1 species
AAAAAAUAUAUACAGAGGUGAGAAAGCAAAUAGCAUAACCAACAUAUAAACUAAAAUGUCUUCGCUCAAGUUUGUUUUCCUUCUCUCUUUUCUGGUGAUUAGCUCUUGUAAGUAUUGAUUUUUGCUUCUUUUUUUUCGCAAUAUCACGAAUAAUUUUAUUGUUAGAUGUGCAUGCAUUAAUUAAAAUAUAGAUAGACAUAUGUUAAAAAUAAAAUCUAAUUAAUAAAUAAUUUGUAAGAAUGGCAUGGAUAGUGCUAUACUGAUAGAAGGAUAUGAUUGCAGACUUGCAGGUGAAGGUGGAAGCAAGAGGUCCAAUAGUCUCAUUUCGAUGCAAGACUAACGCAGAUUGCAUAACCAAUCCUGGAUGUGGGCCACCACUUUGCCAUGCUCCAUGUACUUGCGUAAAUACCAUUUGUACUUGUCCCGGGAAAGCUUCUUUACAAGAAGCUGCUCUUGGAAAUGAAGGAGUAACAAUGCAUUGAAAUAGAAGAUGAAACACUUUGGGUGUAAUCCUUUUAAAUAAGAUUUGAAUAUACAUACUAAACCAUCGUGUCCAUUUUGUUUUAUUUUCUUUUUCUCUUGUUUUACUAAAUCCGCUAAAAUUAUUCACCGC